rnacentral:rRNA from 1 species
AACGAACGCUGGCGGCAGGCCUAACACAUGCAAGUCGAGCGAGGUAGCGAUACCUAGUGGCGGACGGGUGAGUAACGCGUGGGAACAUACCCUUUGGUACGGAAUAGCCUCGGGAAACUGGGAGUAAUACCGUAUGUGGUCGAGAGACGAAAGAUUUAUCGCCAAAGGAUUGGCCCGCGUUGGAUUAGGUAGUUGGUGGGGGUAAUGGCCUACCAAGCCGACGAUCCAUAGCUGGUUUGAGAGGAUGAUCAGCCACACUGGGACUGAGACACGGCCCAGACUCCUACGGGAGGCAGCAGUGGGGAAUCUUAGACAAUGGGGGAAACCCUGAUCUAGCCAUGCCGCGUGAUCGAUGAAGGCCUUAGGGUUGUAAAGAUCUUUCAGGUGGGAAGAUAAUGACUGUACCACCAGAAGAAGCCCCGGCUAACUCCGUG